GAUGAACGCUGGCGGCGUGCCUAAUACAUGCAAGUCGAGCGAAGCGGGGACGGGUGAGUAACACGUGGAUAACCUCCUAUAAGACUGGGAUAACUUCGGGAAACCGGAGCUAAACCGGAUACUUAGAGUUUGAUCCGCGCUGCAUUAGCUAGGUGGUAAGGUAACGGCUUACCAAGGCAACGAUGCAUAGCCGACCUGAGAGGGGAAUGGGCAAAAUUGGACCGGAGAAACGGUCCAGAUUCCUACGGGAGGCAGCAGUAGGGAAUCUUCCGCAAUGGGCGAAAGCCUGACGGAGCAAGGCCGCGUGAGUGAUGAAGGUCUUCGGAUCGUAAAACUCUGUUAUUAGGGAAGCGGUACCUAAUCAGAAAGCCACGGCUAACUACGUGCCAGCAGCCGCGGUAAUAC
rnacentral:rRNA from 1 species